UACGUAGGAUGCAAGCGUUGACCGGAUUUAUUGGGUUUAAAGGGUGCGUAGGCGGCGUUUUAAGUUAGUGGUAAAAACGUUCGGCUUAACCGGAUACCCGCCAUUGAUACUGAUAGACUUGAGUGCGACAGAGGGUGUUGGAAUGUGUGGUGUAGCGGUGAAAUGCUUAGAUAUCACGCAGAACACCAAUUGCGAAGGCAGAUGCCUAUGUCGUAACUGACGCUGAGGCACGAAAGCGUGGGGAGCAAACAGG
rnacentral:rRNA from 1 species